AUUCCAUUCAGGGGCGUUAUCGUUAAUAAUACUGCCCCGGUUUGCAUACCGGGAAUCCAGGAGAGUUCAUGUAC
rfam:Buttiauxella agrestis ATCC 33320 GBAG.assembly.022, whole genome shotgun sequence.